GUAGCUCAGCCGGUAGAGCAACUGACGCUUAAUCAGUGGAUCGAGAGUUCAAUCCUCUCCCAGG
rnacentral:tRNA from 1 species